rnacentral:rRNA from 1 species
UACGUAGGGUGCGAGCGUUAAUCGGAAUUACUGGGCGUAAAGGGCGCGUAGGCGGCUUAUCAAGUCAGGCGUGAAAUUCCCGGGCUCAACCUGGGGGCUGCGCUUGAUACUGAUUGGCUUGAAUGCGGGAGAGGAUAGUGGAAUUCCCAGUGUAGAGGUGAAAUUCGUAGAUAUUGGGAAGAACACCGGUGGCGAAGGCGGCUAUCUGGCCCGUAAUUGACGCUGAGGCGCGAAAGCGUGGGGAGCAAACAGG